AUGAAAUUCACCACCAUCCAAGUGCAAAGCAUCCUACAAGAGAUUGAUUGUACAAGUGAUGUCUGAGAAACUGUUAAAGAUUAUAACAUUUUUUGGGUGAAUGUGAUUCAGAAGAUAUGAGACUGUGAGCAUGGAUAUUCACCUUGUAUGUCAAUACCAUGAGUAUUUUAAAAUGAGCUCAAAGGGAAUAGAGAACUACCAGACUGGUCAGAAAAAAAACAAACUACCUCUGUAACAGGUGGAAGUGCUGUUUUUGCAUCUGUGUGAGUUGGGGUGCAGCUGUCUGGAAAGAAGCUCUGCAGAGAAGGACACCAGGGUUCUGGUGCACAGCAAGUUGAAGGAGCCAAGUGUGCACAGCCAAAGUUUCAAAUCAUCAGAGUCCUGCAAUGCAAUGAAAAAAUGUUGCUUGGUUCUCAAUGAAUUCUGUGGAAGUACCAAAGGGAAAGAGU